UACGUAGGGUGCUAGCGUUGUUCGGAAUUACUGGGCGUAAAGCGCGCGCAGGCGGCUAUCCAAGUCAGUGGUGAAAGCCCGGAGCUCAACUCCGGAACUGCCAUUGAAACUGUUUAGCUUGAGGAUGAGAGAGGUGAGUGGAAUUCCCAGUGUAGAGGUGAAAUUCGUAGAUAUUGGGAAGAACACCGGUGGCGAAGGCGGCUCACUGGCUCAUUACUGACGCUCAGGCGCGAUAGCGUGGGGAUCAAACAGG
rnacentral:rRNA from 1 species